rnacentral:rRNA from 1 species
UGGGGAAUUUUGGACAAUGGGGGAAACCCUGAUCCAGCCAUGCCGCGUGUAUGAAGAAGGCCUUAGGGUUGUAAAGUACUUUUGUUAGGGAAGAAAAGCUAGUUUUUAAUAAAAAUUAGUGAUGACGGUACCUAAAGAAUAAGCACCGGCUAACUACGUGCCAGCAGCCGCGGUAAUACGUAGGGUGCAAGCGUUAAUCGGAAUUAUUGGGCGUAAAGCGAGUGCAGACGGUUACUUAAGCCAGAUGUGAAAUCCCCAAGCUUAACUUGGGACGUGCAUUUGGAACUGGGUGACUAGAGUGUGUCAGAGGGAGGUAGAAUUCCACGUGUAGCGGUGGAAUGCGUAGAGAUGUGGGGGAAUACCGAUGGCGAAGGCAGCCUCCUGGGAUAACACUGACGUUGAGGCUCGAAAGCGUGGGGAGCAAACAGG